rnacentral:rRNA from 1 species
GACGUAGGGAGCGAGCGUUGUCCGGAAUUAUUGGGCGUAAAGAGCUCGUAGGCGGCUUGUCGCGUCGGAUGUGAAAUCCCGAGGCUCAACCUCGGGUCUGCAGUCGAUACGGGCGGACUGGAGUUCGGCAGGGGAGACUGGAAUUCCUGGUGUAGCGGUGAAAUGCGCAGAUAUCAGGAGGAACACCGGUGGCGAAGGCGGGUCUCUGGGCCGAUACUGACGCUGAGGAGCGAAAGCGUGGGGAGCGAACAGG